rnacentral:rRNA from 1 species
UGAACGCUGGCGGCGUGCCUAAUACAUGCAAGUCGAGCGAACAGAUGCGGAGCUUGCUCCUCUGACGUUAGCGGCGGACGGGUGAGUAACACGUGGAUAACCUACCUAUAAGACUGGGAUAACUUCGGGAAACCGGAGCUAAUACCGGAUAAUAUAUUGAACCGCAUGGUUCAAUAGUGAAAGACGGUUUUGCUGUCACUUAUAGAUGGAUCCGCGCCGCAUUAGCUAGUUGGUAAGGUAACGGCUUACCAAGGCAACGAUGCGUAGCCGACCUGAGAGGGUGAUCGGCCACACUGGAACUGAGACACGGUCCAGACUCCUACGGGAGGCAGCAGUAGGGAAUCUUCCGCAAUGGGCGAAAGCCUGACGGAGCAACGCCGCGUGAGUGAUGAAGGUCUUCGGAUCGUAAAACUCUGUUAUUAGGGAAGAACAAAUGUGUAAGUAACUAUGCACGUCUCGACGGUACCUAAUCAGAAAGCCACGGCUAACUACGUG